rnacentral:lncRNA from 1 species
CAGGGCACUCGCAGGUAAUUAAGGUAACUGUACACCAGCAGGAUAUACAGACCAGCCCUGCUGAAUCAUGCUAAAUGAAGAUGAAACAGAGCUGGACUGCUGUUUGUGUGCGAAAAUGCAGCUGUGUAGGCAAGACUAGUUUCCAUGAAGUUCUGUUCCCGCAUAUGACAAACUGCGCAGUCGAAAAGGUUAAGGAGAAGAAACAGAAUCUCUCAAGCGAGCACGGC